UUAAGUUUUUUUGUUUUUUUUUUGUACUCUUUUAACGAGUAACGACUUUUCUUUUUACGAUAAAAAAAAAAAAAAAAAAAAUUAGUGCAUAAUCGAUUUUUUUUUUUUUUUUUUUAACGUAAUAUUUUAAACGAAACGAUAUUUGAUAUUUUUAGAGUCUAUAUUUUGUAUUUUUAUUCACAUAUACUUAUUAUAUUAGAUAUAAAAAAAAAAAAAAAAAAAAAAAAAAGGAAAAAAAA